rnacentral:ribozyme from 1 species
UGACCAGCAACUCCUAUCUCUACCUCCUCGUGGUACUGGCCGGGGUACGAGUAACCUUGGGGAAGAUCGGGUAACCAACCCCCGGUGGGAACUUUGGUCGUAUGCUGACAGGGAAGG